AUGAUCCAAGUGUCAACUACCACGGGGUCUGGUCUACCAUCAAAAGAGGGAUGGCUUAGUUUCUGGAACUCAGAAAUGUUGCUAAAAAUGGUACAAGCAGGGUUUAGUUAGUCCUCUGCAAGACAAGGAUGAUCAUUAUUGUGAGCACAAUUAUAGGCCACAUCAAUAGUUAAACUCUAUAUAGCUCGAAACAAUUCAGUGAAUUAUGUCCUAGUUGAGGCAUCACAAACCUCGGGUCUUUCAAUGG
rnacentral:lncRNA from 1 species